CCCUUAGAUGCUCUGGGCUGCACACGUGCUACACUGGCAGGUUCAGCGAGCUUCAUGCCCUGAUCUGAAAGGAAUGGGAAAUCUUUUCAAAACCUGCCGUGCUUGGGAUGGAUGUUUGCAAUUAUUCAUCUUCAACGAGGAUUGCCUUGUAAGCGCACGUCAUCAGCGUGCAUUGAAUACGACCCUGUAUUCUGUACACACCGCCCGUCGCUCCUACCGAUUGAAGUUUUCGGUGAGUUGACAGGAGGAUAUUUUUGAAACUGGUUCGCCAGUGGAUUUUAGAUCCAAAUGCCAACGAAUCGAUGGCUUUAGAGGAAGGAGAAGUCGUAACA
rnacentral:rRNA from 1 species